ensembl:misc_RNA Metazoa_SRP Metazoan signal recognition particle RNA
GCUGGAUGUGGUGACACACAUCUGUAGUCCCAGCUACUCCAGAAGCUGAGGCAGGAGGAUUGCUUGAGCCCAGGAAGUUGAGGCUGCAGUGUGCUGUCAUCAUGUCACUGCACUCCAGCCUGGACAACAGAGCAAGACCCUGUCUCAA